UACGGCGGCUAUAGCGGUGGGGAUCACCUCUUCCCAUUCCGAACAGAGAAGUUAAGCCCACCAGCGCAGAUGGUACUGGGGUAACACCCGGGAGAGUAUGUCGCUGCCGUUU
rnacentral:rRNA from 1 species